GCCGUUAUAGCUCAGAUGGUAGAGCAGGCGAUUUGUAAUCGUCAGGUCCUGGGUUCGAAUCCUAGUGACGGCA
rnacentral:tRNA from 1 species